rnacentral:rRNA from 1 species
UACGUAGGGGGGCAAGCGUUGUCCGGAUUUAUUGGGCGUAAAGAGCGUGUAGGCGGCCAUGUAGGUCCGUUGUGAAAACUCGAGGCUCAACCUCGAGACGCCGAUGGAAACCAUGUGGCUAGAGUCCGGAAGAGGAGAGUGGAAUUCCUGGUGUAGCGGUGAAAUGCGCAGAUAUCAGGAGGAACACCGAUGGCGAAGGCAGCUCGCUGGGACGGUACUGACGCUGAGGCGCGAAAGCGUGGGGGAGCAAACAGG